rnacentral:rRNA from 1 species
CGCUGGCGGCGUGGAUAAGACAUGCAAGUCGAACGGGAUUAUUUUUGUAGCAAUACAGAAAUAAUUUAGUGGCGAACGGGUGCGUAACACGUGGGCAAUCUGCCGAAAAGUGGGGGAUAGCUCGCCGAAAGGCGAAUUAAUACCGCAUGUGGUGAGGGACGACAUCUUCCUGAAUCCAAAGCCGGGGUCAAACCUGGCGCUUUUGAGGAGCCCGCGGCCUAUCAGCUAGUUGGUGAGGUAACGGCCCACCAAGGCUUUGACGGGUAGCUGGUCUGAGAGGACGACCAGUCACACUGGAACUGAGACACGGUCCAGACACCUACGGGAGGCAGCAGUGGGGAAUAUUGGACAAUGGGCGCAAGCCUGAUCCAGCCAUGCCGCGUGAGUGAUGAAGGCCUUAGGGUUGUAAAGCUCUUUUGUCAGGGAAGAUGAUGACGGUACCUGAAGAAUAAGCACCGGCUAACUUCGUGCCAGCAGCCGCGGUAAUACGAAGGGUGCUAGCGUUGUUCGGAAUCACUGGGCGUAAGGCGCGCGUAGGCGGCUUUUCAAGUCAGGGGUGAAAUCCUUGGGCUCAACCCAAGAAUUGCCUUUGAAACUGAAAAGCUAGAGUGUCGGAGGGGAUAGCGGAAUUCCUAAUGUAGAGGUGAAAUUCGUAGAUAUUAGGAGGAACACCGGUGGCGAAGGCGGCUAUCUGGACGACAACUGACGCUGAGGCGCGAAA